rnacentral:rRNA from 1 species
GAACGCUGGCGGCGUGCCUAAUACAUGCAAGUCGAGCGAACGGACGAGAAGCUUGCUUCUCUGAUGUUAGCGGCGGACGGGUGAGUAACACGUGGAUAACCUACCUAUAAGACUGGGAUAACUUCGGGAAACCGGAGCUAAUACCGGAUGAUAUUUUGAACCGCAUGGUUCAAAAGUGAAAGACGGUCUUGCUGUCACUUAUAGAUGGAUCCGCGCUGCAUUAGCUAGUUGGUAAGGUAACGGCUUACCAAGACAACGAUGCAUAGCCGACCUGAGAGGGUGAUCGGCCACACUGGAACUGAGACACGGUCCAGACUCCUACGGGAGGCAGCAGUAGGGAAUCUUCCGCAAUGGGCGAAAGCCUGACGGAGCAACGCCGCGUGAGUGAUGAAGGUCUUCGGAUCGUAAAACUCUGUUAUUAGGGAAGAACAUAUGUGUAAGUAACUGUGCACAUCUUGACGGUACCUAAUCAGAAAGCCACGGCUAACUACGUG